rfam:Gossypium raimondii Chr08_contig_406, whole genome shotgun sequence.
UGGCAGUGAUGACAGAUUUACGUUUCUCGAUUCUGAUUCGGUUUUUCAAUUUCUUGAAUUUGUAUAAAUUUAAGGACCAAACGACUCUGUGAUGACAGCGUUUGUGCGUGUCUGAGCCUA